GUAAGGAAUCUUCCGCAAUGGGCGAAAGCCUGACGGAGCAACGCCGCGUGAAGGAUGAAAGCCUUCGGGUUGUAAACUUCUUUUGUUAGGGAAUAUUCAAGAAGGUACCUAAUGAAUAAGUCACGGCUAAUUACGUGCCAGCAGCCGCGGUAAUACGUAAGUGGCAAGCGUUAUCCGGAAUCAUUGGGCGUAAAGCGUCAGCAGGAGGUAUGUUUAGUGAGAUGUAAAAGCUCAUGGCUUAACCAUGGGACGGCAUCUCAUACUGGCAAACUAGAGGGACAUAGAGGCACAUGGAAUUCCAGGAGUAGGGGUAAUAUCCGUAGAUACCUGGAGGAACACCAAUAGCGAAGGCAAUGUGCUGGAUGUUUUCUGACUCUCAUUGACGAAAGCGUGGGGAGCGAACCGGAUUAGAUACCCCGGUAGUCC
rnacentral:rRNA from 1 species